UUGUCCUGGACUUCCCUCCGCGCCGGAACGUGGAUCAGGACUUGCAGGAACUUUUUCGCCAGGAGUUUCACCGUGUGGCUGCACGCAAGGGUGUGAGGUACUACUCUAUUGCAGAGUUCUUUCCUCUCAGCCAGCGUGACCUGUGGAGUUGGGAUGGGGUGCACCUGAGUGAUGGAUCUGGGAUGAGGACGCUGGUGACAUUGCUAUGCGACAAAUCCAGU